rnacentral:rRNA from 1 species
AAAUUUGAAAUCUGGCGCAAGCCCGAGUUGUAAUUUGUAGAGGAUGCUUCUGGCCAGCGGCCGUUCUAAGUUCCUUGGAACAGGACGUCAUAGAGGGUGAGAAUCCCGUAUGUGACCGGCGCGCAGCCUUUACGUAGCUCCUUCGACGAGUCGAGUUGUUUGGGAAUGCAGCUCUAAAUGGGAGGUAAAUUUCUUCUAAAGCUAAAUACCGGCCAGAGACCGAUAGCGCACAAGUAGAGUGAUCGAAAGAUGAAAAGCACUUUGGAAAGAGAGUUAAAAAGCACGUGAAAUUGUUGAAAGGGAAGCGCUUGCAACCAGACUUCGUAGCGAUGUUCCGCUGGUCUUUUGACCGGUCUACUCAUCGUCGCGAGGCCAACAUCGUCUGGGCCCGCUGGAUAAGACCUAAGGAAUGUAGCUUCCCUCGGGAAGUGUUAUAGCCUGUGGUGAUGCAGCGCGGCUCGGGCGAGGUCCGCGCUUCGGCAAGGAUGUUGGCGUAAUGGUUGUCAGCGGCCCGUCUUGAAACACGGACCAAGGAGUCUAACAUCUAUGCGAGUGUUCGGGUGUCAAACCCCUACGCGUAAUGAAAGUGAACGGAGGUGGGAAGCGCAAGCUGCACCAUCGACCGAUCCUGAUGUCCUCGGAUGGAUUUGAGUAAGAGCAUAGCUGUUGGGACCCGAAAGAUGGUGAACUAUGCCUGAAUAGGGUGAAGCCAGAGGAAACUCUGGU